rnacentral:rRNA from 1 species
AACGAACGCUGGCGGCAGGCUUAACACAUGCAAGUCGAACGCGUGUAGCAAUACACGAGUGGCGCACGGGUGAGUAACGCGUGGAUAUCUGCCUUUUGGUUCGGAAUGACCUCGGGAAACUGGGGCUAAUACCGGAUGGUUCCUUCGGGUUACAGAUUUAACGCCAAAAGAUGAGUCCGCGUACGAUUAGCAAGUUGGUGAGGUAAUGGCUCACCAAGGCGACGACCGUUAGCUGGUCGGAGAGGACGAUCAGCCACACUGGGACUGAGACACGGCCCAGACUCCUACGGGAGGCAGCAGUGGGGAAUAUUGGACAAUGGGGGCAACCCUGAUCCAGCCAUGCCGCGUGAGUGAUGAAGGCCUUCGGGUUGUAAAGCUCUUUUGGCGGGGACGAUGAUGACGGUACCCGCAGAAUAAGCCCCGGCUAACUUCGUGCCAGCCGCCGCGGUAA